GUGGGGAAUAUUCCGCAAUGGACGAAAGUCUGACGGAGCAACGCCGCGUGAGUGAUGAAGGUUUUCGGACUGUAAAGCUCUGUUGUUUAGGACGAAAGUGCCUGUUGCAAAUAGUUACAGGUAUUGACGGUACUGAACGAGGAAGCCACGGCUAACUACGUGCCAGCAGCCGCGGUAAUACGUAGGUGGCAAGCGUUGUCCGGAAUUAUUGGGCGUAAAGAGCAUGUAGGCGGGAAUCUAAGUCUGUUGUUAAAAUGCGGGGCUCAACCCCGUAUUGCGAUGGAAACUGGGUUUCUUGAGUGCAGGAGAGGAAAGGGGAAUUCCCAGUGUAGCGGUGAAAUGCGUAGAUAUUGGGAGGAACACCAGUGGCGAAGGCGCCUUUCUGGACUGUGUCUGACGCUGAGAUGCGAAAGCCAGGGUAGCGAACGGGAUUAGAAACCCCUGUAGUCC
rnacentral:rRNA from 1 species